GCGGAAAUAGCUCAGUUGGUAGAGCACAACCUUGCCAAGGUUGGGGUCGCGGGUCCGAGUCCCGUUUUCCUCU
rnacentral:tRNA from 1 species